UUCCAGCUCCAAUAGCGUAUAUUAAAGUUGUUGCGGUUAAAAAGCUCGUAGUUUGUUUUCUGCUGUGGACGACUGGUCCGCCCUCUGGGUGAGCAUCUGGUCUAGCCUUGGCAUUCUCUUUGGUAGCACAACUGCACUUGACUGUGUGGUGUGGCAUCUAAGAUCUUUACUUUGAGGAAAUCAGAGUGUUUCAAGCAGGCUUGCGCCUUGUAUACAUUAGCAUGGAAUAAUAACAAAAGGUUU
rnacentral:rRNA from 1 species